GCAUGCAGCAUAGACUAAGGCCAUUCUGUGCCCUCCAGAGAGACUCUCAGCUCACUACACUGCUUACCGCUGGGCUGUGUGCUGGGAUUUGUUUUGUUAUUAUUAUUGUUUUCAUUUUAAACUGAUGGUCCUUUUCAGCUGCACCUUUUGAAAGAGCAGUUUCAGUGCUCUACUCUCUGGAUGCACCUGGUGUCCCACAGCCCUGACUGAAGGUUUGCUGGCAUGCUGUGACUGCUUCGGAUGAAACUUUGUAUGCAGAAACCAAUGCGGAUGUAACUCUAUGGGUCUUUUUAGGAAAUGUCAAGAGCUGGAUUGAUGGACCUUAGGCUCCUGACCAGACGUCAGCCUGGCCUCAUGCUGUGCAGCAGGAGCUGACUUCUCCCUACUGUGAAAUCCCAGAUGUCUCUCAUGCUGACCCAACACCAUUUCAUCUACACUGGGAAUCUGCUCUGCAGUGCGGGAAACUGUUG